GUUUAAUAAAAAAACAUGUGUAAAGUGGAUACCAUAUGACACCAAUACUCAUAUUCACUACGUUGAAUUCAUAACUCAUCGAAAAUGCUUUUCGUAUGUUGGUAAAAUUUCGAAAAGUCCACAAAUAAUAGGGUUGGCCAACAGCUGUGUAAACCAAGGAACAAUUAUGCAUGAAAUGCUACAUGCCAUUGGUUCUUGGCAUGAAAUGGCUCGAAAGGACCGAAACAACUAUAUGACUGUUGAUAUGCAUAAUGUUAUUCAAGGAGCGGGAUCUAACUUCUAUGUAA